rnacentral:misc_RNA from 1 species
AUUUAGCACCCCUUUAAGAAUCUCAUCCUAAUUUCUACUUCUUCUUCUGAUUCUGCAAAAGGGGUUUUUGAGCGCCAUGGAUCACGCGGCGGAUGCUCAGAGGACGGACUUGAUGACCAUUACACGCUUCGUCUUGAAUGAGCAAUCCAAGUAUCCAGAAUCGCGAGGAGAUUUCACGAUUUUGCUUAGUCAUAUUGUUCUUGGCUGCAAGUUCGUCUGCUCUGCUGUUAAUAAGGCAGGUUUAGCUAAACUUAUUGGACUUGCUGGAGAGACC